rnacentral:lncRNA from 1 species
UGACGAUUGAGCCAGGUGUAUUUGAAGGGGUUCUGUCUCCCAUCAAUCACAGAUCUCACACCUAUACUUCCUUUGCAGGCGCCUGGGGGGCGUAAAAGGGACAGAUGUCCCUCGGGGCACAUUAUAAGGACGUACGAAUAGCAGAGAGGUGUAACCUGACCCUCAUCAAAAUCCAGAAACAUCACUCAAGCGCUCCAGCGACAGAUCCGCCGGAGAUCACAUGGCGUCGGGAAAAAAAAGAAAGAAAAAAAAAACAUUUAAGAAGAAUGUUGAAAGAAAACGACACCUGACAGUUCACUAAUUGGCCAUUUCUAAUUUCAAAGAGCCGCACUCGAGCUCGCCCCACUCGUCCUCCCCUUCACAAAGAUUGUGAUUGACAGUCAGUUCAAGAUGGGCGAACCGCUCCUCCUACAGUCUUUUCAUGUUCAUGGUAUCGCCUUGAGAGUUUUCUCCCGCUAGAGAGAAAUUUACUGUGAAGAAGAAGAAAAAAAACAGAAGCAGUAUCUUCGCCAUCUGAACUUAUCUUUCCAUCAAAUAUCCUGCAGGAGGGGUGUUGUCGGCGGAGCAGGUGCAGGUGGGGAGGUUUCUCCAACUGUGGGUGUGAGGCAAUGUACGGCACAGUCAAACUACCCUGAUGCCCCGCGUAGCGAUUUGUCAAAAUGAAUUGUGGUCAAGAAUCUUAUUAAUAACUAUAAAAAGGAGAAAAAAAAGAGAAGUCACUGCAAUGUCUCUUAUCCAUUUGCUUCUCUCUAUUUCCCCUUCAUCUGCUGCCAUUCAUCUGUGACUGAUCAAUGUAUAUGUGUGUGUGUGUGUGUGUGUGUGUGUGUGUGUGUGUGUGUGUGUGUUUCACAAAAUGGUCUUUAUCUGUCUGUGCAUGCGAUGUCUGUCUAUUUCUUCUCUUGCCAGGCCUCUGUAGUGGUUUUUAAGAAAAACUAUUUCUAUCUGCAAAAAAGCACCACCUCCGCCGAAGGGCUUUGAUAAAUCACUAUCCAGGUGCUGCUCCAAUUUGUCUUCAUCAUUAACUUUUACCGAGCUGUAACCUAUCCGUCAUUGAGCGAAAACCCCUAAGCAGACGUUUUGAUGUGUUCAUGUGUGAGCACAUACAGCUUUGCACUUGCUCAAUCCCUCAAUUAAUUGAGAGGGCCUGAGGCGUUGAGUGAACUAGAAAUGCUUUUAUUUUUUUUUCCCCCGCUCAUUUUUCUUUUGUGUGUUUUUUGGGCUGUUGGUCAUGGGUGGUAGCAUCUGCAUAGUCAUGACUUCGUCACCUGAAGCAUGACCAUCUUAGUAUGACAGUGGAAAUGUAUGUGCCACUGUUGCCCUUGAGCAGUAGAGAGGGAACAUGCGAAGAUUUGCUGCAUAAGGUGUUUUUAUUGGGGGGCUUCCUGUACCAUAGGCGGUACAGGUACUGUCCAUUUAUAGGGGUGUCCCAGAUAAGUAGUUGUUACAAAAAAAAGCCCGAAACAACAUAACUGCAUAGCCUAUUUAAUAUGCACAAUUUUCUGGGUUAGACAAAGCAUCAACCUGAUGAUUUAUGGCCAAAUAUGACUCUUGUCAUAUUGUUGGUGGGGUAGAAAGCGGCCCUGGCAGUCACACAGUCACACACAUCCAAACUGAUGGAACUGAUAGACACGACCAGUACAACAAUCCAGCAAAGGUCGAUCAAAGUAUUUCACAAUUGUUUCAGAUUAUACACCAGAUCUGAGUCACUGGUAACACUCUCUGGAUCGUGUCACUAAAAGACACGA